rnacentral:tRNA from 1 species
GGGCCCGUUGCUCGGUGGUCCGAGCGGCCGUCUGUUAAGCGGAUGUUUGUUGGUUCGAUUCCAACCGGGCCCG